rnacentral:sRNA from 1 species
CUCUCACUGAGGCCAAACUCACCUGGUUUCCUUACCAGUUCCUCAUCUGGCAUGCUUUUAGGGAGUCAUUUAAUACUUCGUGAUUAGAACAAAUAUGUGA